rnacentral:rRNA from 1 species
AAUAGAUACCCCGGUAGUCCACGCCGUAAACGAUGUCGACUUGGAGGUUGUGCCCUUGAGGCGUGGCUUCCGGAGCUAACGCGUUAAGUCGACCGCCUGGGGAGUACGGCCGCAAGGUUAAAACUCAAAUGAAUUGACGGGGGCCCGCACAAGCGGUGGAGCAUGUGGUUUAAUUCGAUGCAACGCGAAGAACCUUACCUACUCUUGACAUCCAGAGAACUUAGCAGAGAUGCUUUGGUGCCUUCGGGAACUCUGAGACAGGUGCUGCAUGGCUGUCGUCAGCUCGUGUUGUGAAAUGUUGGGUUAAGUCCCGCAACGUAGCGCAACCCUUAUCCUUUGUUGCCAGCGAUUCGGUCGGGAACUCAAAGGAGACUGCCAGUGAUAAACUGGAGGAAGGUGGGGAUGACGUCAAGUCAUCGAUGGCCCUUACGAGUAGGGCUACACACGUGCUACAAUGGCAUAUACAAAGAGAAGCGACCUCGCGAGAGCAAGCGGACCUCAUAAAGUAUGUCGUAAGUCCGGA